AAACUUAAAGGAAUUGACGGGGCCCGCACAAGCGGUGGAGCAUGUGGUUUAAUUCGAUGCAACGCGAAGAACCUUACCUGGGCUUGACAUCCCGGGAAUCCCCUGGAAACAGGGGAGUGCCCUUCGGGGAACCCGGUGACAGGUGCUGCAUGGCUGUCGUCAGCUCGUGUCGUGAGAUGUUGGGUUAAGUCCCGCAACGAGCGCAACCCUUGUCUUUAAUUGCCAGCAUUUAGUUGGGCACUCUAGUGAGACUGCCGGUGACAAACCGGAGGAAGGUGGGGAUGACGUCAAGUCCUCAUGGCCCUUAUGGGUAGGGCUUCACACGUCAUACAAUGGUCGGUACAGAGGGUUGCCAAACCGCGAGGUGGAGCCAAUCCCUAAAAGCCGAUCGUAGUCCGGAUCGUAGUCUGCAACUCGACUACGUGAAGUCGGAAUCGCUAGUAAUCGCGGAUCAGCAUGUCGCGGUGAAUACGUUCCCGGGUCUU
rnacentral:rRNA from 1 species